GCAGACUCCAUAACCGCCACGUGAAGUGGAUUAAUAGUUAAUCAGGAAGCGACAUCAAGCAGUCGCUGCAGUAAAAAUGAAACGGUGUAGAUCAAUGACGUGGUGUAGAUGUUGCUUGUUGUUCCCAGAUCAGCUAAAAGUUAGCCAUGCUGUUUCUAUUUCUUCUUCUACUACUCUUCUUCGACCCUUUGGUGUCAUGCUACUUCUCACAGGUCAGUGUUGGUACUGCACCAGACACCAGGUUUUAUGUGUGUGUGGGUCAUUUGGAGUGAGUACACCACAGCGGUAAGAACACGUAUAAUGUGUUUUAUAUUGCGUGGGGUCUGUCACCUUAAAAAAAAAUAAUAAUAAAUCAGUCACAAUGUUAAAAAUCAAUUUGUGCGAACAGGUACUAAAUUGUCAGUUGUACUUUAAAGGAUGAUGAGGGCAAACAGUCGAGGAAGAAGAAGUCAAAGGGAUGCCCGGUGUUUGUGUAUCAGAGGCAGAGGAUGAGAGGGGGGCAAAUCUUGAUUCCCGCUUACUCCAACCAAAACACCCUUUGAUGCCUCUUCGGGUGUUAACUACAUGAACGCUUCCCUCCGCGCUCUGUUGUGCGUUUUUGCGUCGCGUGAGUCUCAGCAGAGCUGAGGGGAGGUGCUGGUGGGGGAAGGCGCACCACAAGAAAGAGCACCCGGGAAAAUUAGAGAGGAGUACACUUAAGCGCUAACAGAAAGCAGAAAGAGCGGGACAGUGAGAUGGAGGAGAGGCAUUUUCAAAAGAAAAAAAAAAGACCGGGAUAAAAGACAUGUCCUUUAAAUUUCCUUGAACUAGCCGUAGCGUUUACAGCCCAUAUUAGGGCUGCAGGUGCCGAAGAUUGAUGUGAUGCUGUUGCUAUAAGGAUUCUCUCCUGGCAGACCGAGACAAGAACCGAAGUGAACCACUUCCCCAGAGGCGGUGCUGCAUGGAUUCUGCAUCGACCGACCGGUAGAGGUCCAGGAAAACCUCUGAGGGGAUGUCGUCGAUCUCUGUGAAGCUUGGGCCUGUGACAGCCCUUUUGAGAUUAAGGGCUAAAACAGUUAAACUGCAUUUGACCGGUUUUAUGUUUUUCAGAACUGCAUGUCAAUCGGAUGCCGCCGUACCAAAAGAGCACAUAAGCUGAAGUCACUCGAGUUCUUUGCGCGCUCAAAGCCAAGACGACACGCUGAAAUCACCAGUCAGGCGUCGUGCCAGUCAAUACCCCCACCCCCAAAGAAAACCCCAAAACCUGCAGAACACGAGACAGACCCAGAGCGCCGAGACCGACGUCGGCGAGGACCUCCAACGGCGUCUCGUUCUUCGGAAUUCUGUUGUUUACAUAAACUUUAAUCUUUUCCAUUCGCUGUCGGGGUCUGGGGAGUCGUGUGUGAGAAUGAGGGCAGGGCUGUGUGUUUACAUCUGUGCGCGUAUGUGUAUAAAGUGUGUGUUUGUACAUGUGCAUCUGCUACGGACUGGAUGCGCCGAAUUAGGCGUGCUGUUUAUUCGGCACAUUACAAGGCCAGGAGAUGUUUACGGCAUCUUAUUUACGCUACUCUAACUAGUCAGCUCCAACCCUACCCUGUUCGUCCAGACCGCAGGACCUCCAACAAAGACGACCCAAAUCCCUUUUUCUCACUUCUCGAAAAGACAAAUAAAAGAAUCAUAUCAUGUCGA